UCUUACUAGUCAAAAACAAAAUUAAAAAAAAGAGCAAAGAGGAAGCGAAUAAGGACAAUUUCACCGCUACACCCUCCACUCAGUCCCGAGUUGUUCACCCCAGCUGAUGCUAUCUCCAACUUCAAACCCUCCAAUUAAUCAAACAAUGACCACUCUUCCCCAAUCUCAUAACCCCUCCAUGGAUAACCAAAUCCACCGAAACGGCGCGGUAGAGCCAAACCACCACGCCGCCAAGAAACCCAAACUCGCCCACUCCAUUUCCGACUCCGAGAUCCACGACGAAUUCUCCCACCACCAACGUGGCGUCGCUAGGAUCAAUAACGGCAGCUUCGGAAGCUGCCCGCGCUCCGUUCUCGCGGCGCAGUCCGUAUGGCAGCUCCGCUUUCUCCAGCAGCCCGACGACUUCUUCUUUAACGUGCUCCGUGGCUGCAUCCUGGAAUCGCGAGCCGUAGUCGCAGACCUAAUCAAUGCCGACCACGUCGACCGCGUCUCCCUCGUCGACAACGCCACCACGGCCGCCGCCAUCGUCCUCCAGCAGAUUGGCCGCCGCUUCGUGCGCGGGCAUUUUCACCGAGAGGACUCUGUUAUAAUGUUCCACUGUGCGUACCAGGCGGUUAAGAAGUCCAUCGAAGCCUACGUGACUCCGAUCGGCGGUACCGUCGUCGAGGUCCAGCUCCCAUUCCCGGUGCGUUCUGACGAGGAAAUCGUAACCGAGUUCAAGAAAGGCAUUGAGAAAGGUAAACUCAACGGCGGAAGAGUCAGGUUAGCGAUAAUCGAUCACGUAACGUCGAUGCCUUCUGUGGUUCUCCCCGUUCGCGAAUUGAUUAAGGUUUGCAGAGAACAAGGAGUGGAACAGGUUUUCGUCGACGGCGCUCACGCCAUUGGAAGCUUGCCCGUGGACGUGAAGGAAAUUGGGGCUGAUUUUUACGUGAGCAAUUUAUAUAAGUGGUUUUUCUCUCCGCCUUCGGUGGCUUUUUUGUACUGUAAAGAGAGUUCAAACGACGUGCACCACCCUAUCGUUUCACAGGAGUACGGAAAGGGUUUACCGGUUGAGAGUGCAUGGGUUGGGAUGCGGGACUAUAGCCCCCAACUUGUUGUGCCAUCGAUUUUGGACUUCGUGAAUCGGUUCGAGGGUGGGAUUGCGGGGAUCAUGCAAAGGAACCAUAAUGCGGUAGUGAAAAUGGGGAUCAUGUUAGCGGAGUCUUGGGGAACGAAUCUAGGGUCGCCUCCUGAGAUGUGCGCUAGCAUGAUUAUGGUGGGGUUGCCUUCUAAGCUCUGCGUGAUGAGUGAUGAUGAUGCCUUGCGGUUAAGGUCUUACCUAAGGGUCUAUCACGCAAUUGAGGUUCCUGUAUAUUACCAGGUUUUGAGGAAUGAUGAUAGGGAUCCCAGGGACAAGAAUGGGUUUAUAACUGGUUAUGUCCGGAUAUCUCAUCAAGUUUAUAAUAUUAUUGAUGAUUAUCAGAAGCUUAAGUCAGCGAUUAAUCAGAUUUUGGAGGAUGGGAAAAUUUGCGGCGGGCUUCCUACGGAGUGAUUUGCAAGAAGAGAAAUAAAGAGAUUCUAUUAAACUAAUACGUGGCUGCCUUACAUUCCAAAGUAUGCUGUGCCUUUGCUAAGACUAAAUAAUUCAUUGGAGCUGCUGCCUCACAAACUCUGAAAUUGCAGGUUACCGAGUCAACUUUGUUAAUUCUAUAUAUUGUGAUUCCAAGAAAAAUAUGGAAAGUUUUUUGCCCUCAAAUAUAUGAAAUUUAUCUUGUUCUUGAAAGUGGAAAUCUUUUGAUGUAUUCCAUAGGCGCAGUUCCCACUGGUUCCCACUGGCAAGGCUUUUUGUUGUACCUGUCUAUUUAUUCGCUUGUCAACAGAACUUUUAUUUCACUAAAUAAAAAUCUGCUUUCUCAGUUA